rnacentral:rRNA from 1 species
CUUGAAACACGGACCAAGGAGUUUAUCGUGUNCGCAAGUCNUUGGGUGAGUAAAACCCAAAGGCGAAAUGAAAGUAAAGAGCUGAGUUUUGAGAAAAAAAUUUUUUUUUUUUCUUAUACCUCUCUUAAGGGAGGAUGGAAAUUGCAUUUAUAAUUAAUUGUAGUUUACUAUAAUAGUUGUAUAUGUUUGUUUCCCGCACUCCCGGGGCGCUUGUAUCACGCUUUGCGUGUCAAUGCGCACCUAGAGCGUACACGCUGAUACCCGAAAGAUGGUGAACUAUGCCUGGCCAGGACGAAGCCAGGGGAAACCCUGGUGGAGGUCCGCAGCGAUUCUGACGUGCAAAUCGAUCGUCGGAGCUGGGUAUAGGGGCGAAAGACCAAUCGAACCAUCUAGUAGCUGGUUCCCUCUGAAGUUUCCCUCAGGAUA